rnacentral:rRNA from 1 species
UACGGAGGGUGCAAGCGUUGUCCGGAAUCACUGGGCGUAAAGGGCGCGUAGGCGGCUCAUGAAGGCUGUGGUGAAAGUCCGGGGCUCAACCUCGGAUCGGCCGUGGCGACUCGUGGGCUGGAGCACUGUAGAGGCGGGUGGAAUUCCGGGUAUAGCGGUGGAAUGCGUAGAGAUCCGGAAGAACACCAGUGGCGAAGGCGGCCCGCUGGGCAGUGGCUGACGCUGAGGCGCGACAGCGUGGGGAGCAAACAGG